AGCGAACGCUGGCGGCAGGCUUAACACGUGCAAGUCGAGCGGAUGUAGCAAUACAUCAGCGGCAGACGGGUGAGUAACGCGUGGGAACAUACCUUUUGGUUCGGAACAACCCAGGGAAACUUGGGCUAAUACCAGAUAAGCCCUUACGGGGAAAGAUUUAUCGCCGAAAGAUUGGCCCGCGUCUGAUUAGCUAGUUGGUGAGGUAACGGCUCACCAAGGCGACGAUCAGUAGCUGGUCUGAGAGGAUGAUCAGCCACAUUGGGACUGAGACACGGCC
rnacentral:rRNA from 1 species